rnacentral:misc_RNA from 1 species
GAAGCUUAUGUUCAAAAAGGAGUUCGAUAGCAGCUAUGUUGGGUUCCUGAGUGAUGGGGCAAAAUGGCUGGUACAGAACACAGACAUCAAACUUGUUGGACUUGAUUACUUGUCGGUUGCUGCCUAUACUGAUCUCGUUCAAACACAUCGUGUCUUAUUGAAAAGCAGGGAAAUUGUUAUUGUGGAGGGCUUAAAACUUGACGACAUUAAACCAGGACUAUAUGAUCUCCAUUGCUUGCCUAUGAGGGUUCUUGGUGCUGAAGGUACGCCAACAAGAUGCAUUCUUAUGGGAUGAUAUUUUUCAGGCUUGUGAUUUUAUGGAAAUAAAUUAUUAUGAGUUUAAUUAUGAUAAUCAAUCAAGGAUAAUCAAUGAUUAUUUUUUAUGGGUUAAUUAAUCAAGAUUAGAUGAUUGUCUAGUAGUUAGUAGUUGUGGGCUGGUAGAUGGUGAUGUAACAAGGUGACAUGUAGUUGCUACGGUGGCUACAGAAUUAAUUUGCCAAUUUGUGCUAGAUUGAAUAUCCUGAAUAAGAAUAUUUUUUCUUUCUCA